AACGUCCUAAUAUUCCUGGGCAGGUUGAUUUCUUGGUUCUCUUCAUGUACUAUUGGAAACUGAUGCUUGUUGGGUUUUCUGUGACCAUGCAACCAAAUUGUAGUUAAUGGUUUUGCCUAUAAUUAUUAUUCUGGUCUAUAUUACUUUGCAAAAACUUAUUGUAAUUUUUGUUUAUAUUAUAUCAGAUUUUAACCUAUGCACUUGUUGUUUGCUUAUAUGUUUCUAACUUGAAUUAGUAAAAAAGUAAAAGGGUGGCAACUAAGAGGAUCUUUUAAAAAUUGUCAGGGAAAAUCUGAUGAAGUAUGCAGGGAGUUAUAAAGUCACAUGUCUUGGUUUACAAGCAUUAUAUGGCUGUACCAUUUUUGUGGUUCAUACCAUAAAAUUACAAAUUGGCAACCAUAUUUUUCUUUUAUAGGCACUUUGCAGUUGGAUGCAAACUUAAAAAGAAGUGAACUUACUGAUUCAAAUUCCUAAAUCAAUCUGUGUGCACAUGUGUCAUGAGUAUACGCAUAUGAUUGGAAGCCUCAUUCUAUCUCCCUUAAAUUCUUCCUAUUAGAAUAACAAGUAGUUUCAUUAUGGUGUUCUAUUAAUUUGACCAACUGACCUUGGUUUUAAACAUGGGCGGUGGGCCCAAAAAGUAGUUGAUUAUAGUAGUAGAGCAGCAGGUUCACUUGAAAUUUGAAAUUUUGGUUUCAUGAUUUAGUAAGCACCCAAUCUUUAGUUUAUUUGGUUGGAUACAUGUUGAAUUUAGUUGUUACUGGUGAACGAACUCAAUCAAAAUUAAUUUUGCUUAAUAGUCAAAAACUAAUCACUGUAUUCGACCUGUUUCUAAUGUCAUGGUUUUUAAGAUGCAUUUAUUUUCUGCUUUUCUUUCUUCCUUUCUUGCUUGCUUGUCUUAUUGUUUCCUUGAUUACCAAGGAGCUGGCUAUAACCUCUGAUG
rnacentral:misc_RNA from 1 species